rnacentral:rRNA from 1 species
UGGGGAAUCUUGGACAAUGGGCGCAAGCCUGAUCCAGCAAUGCCGCGUGAGUGAUGAAGGCCUUAGGGUUGUAAAGCUCUUUUACCAGGGAUGAUAAUGACAGUACCUGGAGAAUAAGCUCCGGCUAACUCCGUGCCAGCAGCCGCGGUAAUACGGAGGGAGCUAGCGUUGUUCGGAAUUACUGGGCGUAAAGCGUACGUAGGCGGUGACUCAAGUCAGAGGUGAAAGCCUGGAGCUCAACUCCAGAACUGCCUUUGAAACUAGGUCGCUAGAAUCACGGAGAGGUGAGUGGAAUUCCGAGUGUAGAGGUGAAAUUCGUAGAUAUUCGGAAGAACACCAGUGGCGAAGGCGGCUCACUGGACGUGUAUUGACGCUGAGGUACGAAAGCGUGGGGAGCAAACAGGAUUAGAUACCC